rnacentral:tRNA from 1 species
AGGAUUAUAGUUUAAUAAAACAUUUGAAUUGCAAUCAAAAAUUAUAUAAAAUUAUAUUUAUCUUA